CAUAGCCAUGGAUCCCAUGUUCCAGGAUUUGGUCAACACGGCAUCUGUGCACAUGAAAACAAAGAACUUGCGAAAGCAAAAGAAAUUCUUCCUCUUAUAGAGGACUCCAGUAACUGUGACAUUGUCAAAGCUACACAAUACGGAAUUUUUGAACGAUGUAAAGAGCUGGUAGAAGCAGGAUAUGAUGUCAGACAACCAGACAGAGAAAAUGUGUCUCUUCUUCACUGGGCUGCCAUUAACAACAGGCUAGAGCUUGUAAAGUGCUGUGAUAGAUCAGUUGGGUGGUGACUUAAAUUCAACUCCUCUUCACUGGGCCAUCCGACAAGGGCAUUUGCCUAUGGUCAUCUUGCUACUGCAGCAUGGUGCAGACCCCACUCUGAUUGACGGA
rnacentral:lncRNA from 1 species